rnacentral:misc_RNA from 1 species
CGUGGACUUUACAAUAACAAAUCCCAAAUAAACGAGAUUGUGGGUUUGUUGUCUGAGGAAUCAUAAAUGGAGCAUGUUCUCAAAUCACCACACUCCUUUUUAAAUGAAGGAGAAAAAAAUCCUCCAAAAUUCUAGAGCACCAAAUGCAUAAGUCCCACACUAGAAAAUUCUUCUUGUACAAGUGCGUCAGCUUUUAAUAUUGCACCCUCUCAUCGUUCUCCAACUGCAGCCCUUCGAUUCCCUUCAAAGCCGAGUCGUAAUUCUUUACAUGUCCAUGUCCAUGUCCUGUGUGCCUUCCCGACGCGCUUCUCUUCUGAUCCGCAGGUCCAACGGGCG